UGGGGAAUUUUGGACAAUGGGCGCAAGCCUGAUCCAGCCAUGCCGCGUGAGUGAAGAAGGCCUUCGGGUUGUAAAGCUCUUUCGGCCGGGAAGAAAUCGGGCGGGUGAAUAAUCCGUCUGGAUGACGGUACUGGAAGAAGAAGCACCGGCUAACUACGUGCCAGCAGCCGCGGUAAUACGUAGGGUGCGAGCGUUAAUCGGAAUUACUGGGCGUAAAGCGUGCGCAGGCGGCCUGUCAAGACAGCUGUGAAAGCCCCGGGCUUAACCUGGGAACGGCGGUUGUGACUGGCAGGCUGGAGUACGGCAGAGGGAGGUGGAAUUCCACGUGUAGCAGUGAAAUGCGUAGAGAUGUGGAGGAACACCGAUGGCGAAGGCAGCCUCCUGGGCCCGUACUGACGCUCAUGCACGAAAGCGUGGGGAGCAAACAGG
rnacentral:rRNA from 1 species